CACGUAGGGGGCAAGCGUUGUCCGGAAUUAUUGGGCGUAAAGAGCUCGUAGGCGGCUCGGUAAGUCAGGUGUCAAAUCCUCAGGCUCAACCUGGGGCUCCACCUGAUACUGCUGUGGCUAGAGUCCGGUAGGGGAGCGUGGAAUUCCUGGUGUAGCGGUGAAAUGCGCAGAUAUCAGGAGGAACACCAGCGGCGAAGGCGGCGCUCUGGGCCGGAACUGACGCUGAGGAGCGAAAGCGUGGGUAGCAAACAGG
rnacentral:rRNA from 1 species